GCCACUCGCGCGGCAGAGACUGCUGAGUGAGUGAAGUGAGCAGCAGCGGCGCGCGAGACGCCAGUAACUCGAGCCAUGCAGAACACUUUCUCUUGUCACAUGGAGGCCAGAGGGAGGAGAGAUGAGACACAAACACACAGACCGGUUCCCCUCCAUUUCAUACAUUGCUCAGCAAGACAGCUAGACUGCCUGCAUCAGCAUCAAAUUGUCCUGCCAACCACCACUGAGCCGAGACACCUGCUUCACCCAUCCUUCAUCUCCACUCUUAUUAAAAUACAUAUAUUAUCAUCGA